ACUUCUUUUUCUUGCAUUCCCGUUGUGACACAACCACCCAGAGAGUAAUUCUCUCUUCUUCCUCUUCUGCUUCUGCUUUCACCUACACCACCACCACCGAUUCCACCGAUCGGCAGAAUCAUGGCGCAUCAUCCACUUCAUCACCAUUCUCUUUAUCUUUUUGUUAUCCACUCUUAUAAAGCUCAAUUCUUUAUCUAUUUAGAUGACACUACAACCCAGAUUUUCAAAAGCUACUGAGUUGGAAAUCAAAGCAUCAACUUUUGAUUACAGCCCUUGCUACUCGAAUCCUCUCCAAAAUUGGUAAAGCCCAAACCUUUAUUAUUUCCUUCUUGAUUCAAAUUAUUCUUCUAUUCCUCAAAAUCAGAAGUUAAUCCAUGUUCUUCGUUUCUGGGCAACACUGUCGUGCUCCGCCAUCGACCCCUUUGAUUUCCAUCAAGGAUUUGAGACUUCAAUCAGUUUGAAUUCUCUUUUGACUUCAUGUGAAUCUUGGGAGUUUCUGGACGACUUUGGAGGAGGAGUAACGCUGAGUUUUGAAGGAAGGGAACAAUUCCGCAAAGCUCUGAGAGUUACCAUUCCUUUUUCUAGAAAUACAUAGAGGACAACCAUAAUCAUUUGGGACGGAGCAGCAUGACUUGCAACUUGGACUUCUACUAUAGUAUCAGGUAGGGACUUCUACUAUAGUAUCAGGUAGGGGAGAGCCGCCCGUUAAGGUGAGUCGAAACAUCCGGGUCAGUGGAUUUCUUUGUGUAGUACUCAUUCCUUCAUUUCAUUUAAAAAUUUUACUUUAUCCGCAUUUUAGUAUAUGCCUUUAAAAUUUACAGUAUUCUUAUAUUUACUGUUUUACUAAGGCUAGACUUCAUUCAUAUAUUAUAUUUCCUGAAUAGACCUGAGAGUGAAUGGGAACCUAGAAAUAGGGACACCUUCGGUGUCAAUAAUCGUAAACCUCCGGAGGGGCAAUGCCAUGUUAUCAUUCUACCUUGCGCUGACUAUAUUUUACUUUAGGGUAUUGUCUUAAAUGGACACUCUCACUCACUUAUUGUUAAUAUUAGCAAUAAGCAUAGUUGGCCUCAAUUUAAGGGGUGAUUAUAUUCCCUCCUAGUCGCCAGGUUCGGUCACCAGAUUAUUAACAUUCUACGGAUCAUAAACUUAUUGAUUUUUAUACUUAUAUUGGUGUUAGCUUUUGCAUAUGGAUUUCUCUGCCAACUAUUAAACCAAUUUAUAUUUUGGUUUUAUUUUCUAAAUCAUUACUUUCGAAUUGAGGUCUCAUUUAUAUGUUUUACAUAUAUGAGUACUACCUCUUUAAAUGUUUUCAAACCCUGCCUCGACUGGGUUCGGCCCUUACCGGGUUAGCAAGGACGAGUGCUCACCCUCUACAUUUUAGGUACCAGUGACAUAGUUUAGAGAAAUUUGGUUGAGAGCUGGAGACAUGGAUGUACUUGACAUUUCUCGUCCAAUUCCAUUUUUCAAAUAUACACUUCAUUUUGUGGUAAAUCGAUUUUUCUCGAUCUCCGAGUCACUUCCAAGAACUUAUUGUUUGCGUACUUUUUCCUUGAUCAUAUUAGGAGUUAAUUUUAUUAUUAGUUAGGCCAAGUUGUUCAAAUCAUAGAGACUUAGAGUUUGUUAAAUUCUUUCUAAGUCUCAUUCAUUGCGUUCCGCAAUUGUAUAAAUGGGUUAUUAUUUAUGUUGGUCGCUCCUCUUCAUUUCCUAAAAUUUUCAUUAAACUCUUAUAUUUUCAGCCUUGUGUUUUUAAGUUGAUGGAUGAUCAAUACAUCACAACGACGUAUUGUUUGUUCAUUAACUCGGAAUCAAGGCGGUUACUGUAUGUUUCGGGUCCGGUUUCGGCCCCGGGAUGUGACACUAGGCAUGUAACAAGGGUGAGUGUUACGGGAUAAUUAUUAUU